UGAUCUGAGGAGUUACUCGGUGCGAUUCCGAUAGCUACCAUAUGAUCACCAACAGGGCUACCGGAUUUUCAAGUUUGAAUCU
rnacentral:misc_RNA from 1 species